CCUUUAUUUAUUUUAGGUGUGUAUACGUGUGGAAGACCCGAUUAUCAAUUAUAUUACGCUACAUAUGAAAUUGCAAUGAAAUUUCAUGAGCUCUGUGUCACCAAGUCAGAAUAGAUAUUAAUGUUUCCAGGACAUUUAUUUAUACAUAUAUAUGUAUAGAUUAAUUAAAGUCAAGUCAGAAUAAUAUUUCGUGAUAGAUAAAUAAAAUAAUGACCUUAGUGAUUUUAAACCCGUAAUAUCCGAUGCAAGGAGAUGUUUUUCACUGUAUUGAUUGAGCAUCAUGGAAAAGCCAAGUUGGUGGGCAAGGUUAUUGAGGAUCAUACAAAAUGGGCUUUCGUCCAAACAUCUCCUUGAAAAGAUUCAUGCAGUAAAUGAGGAGAAGGAAAGGAAUAUUUGAAGAUGCAUGCAAGAUGUUCGAUGAAAUGCUUGAGAGAAGAAAAGGAAUAUUUGAAGGACCCUACAAAAUGGGCUUUCCUCCGAACAUCUCCUUAAAAAAUUUCAUUCAAUAUAUGCCCAGAAGGGUUGCUUGCAGAGGGGAAUUUGGAAGAUGCAUGCAACAUGUUCGAUCAGAUGCUUGCGAGAAGAUUUCAUCCAAUGCAGCCCAUUUUUUUUCCCUGUUAGUUAAGUGAUAAAUUAACAUGCCAAAA